rnacentral:rRNA from 1 species
GGCAACCUGGCGGUGUGCUUACACAUGCAGUGGAGCGACGAACCAGGGCUUGCCCUGGGGCAGAGCCGCGAACGGGUGAGUAACACGUGGGUAACCUACCCCGAUGACCGGGACAACCCGAGGAAACUCGGGCUAAUACCGGAUAUGUCCGACAAUCACGAGGUUGUCGAGCAAAGGAAGCUUCGGCCUCCGCUUCGGGAGGGGCCCGCGGCCCAUUAGCUAGUUGGUGGGGUAAUGGCCUACCAAGGCUGCGAUGGGUAGCUGGUCUGAGAGGACGAUCAGCCACACUGGGACUGAGACACGGCCCAGACUCCUACGGGAGGCAGCAGUGGGGAAUCUUGCGCAAUGCGCGAAAGCGUGACGCAGCAACACCGCGUGAGGGAAGACGGCCUUCGGGUUGUAAACCUCUUUCAGGAGGGACGAAGGGUAGGCGGUGAAUAGCCGUUCUACCUGACGGUACCUUCAGAAGAAGCACCGGCUAACUACGUGCCAGCAGCCGCGGUAAU